GUAGGUGGCAAGCGUUGUCCGGAAUUAUUGGGCGUAAAGCGCGCGCAGGCGGUUCUUUAAGUCUGAUGUGAAAGCCCACGGCUCAACCGUGGAGGGUCAUUGGAAACUGGAGAACUUGAGUGCAGAAGAGGAAAGCGGAAUUCCACGUGUAGCGGUGAAAUGCGUAGAGAUGUGGAGGAACACCAGUGGCGAAGGCGGCUUUCUGGUCUGUAACUGACGCUGAGGCGCGAAAGCGUGGGGGGAGCAAACAGGAUUAGAUACCCUGGUAGUCCACGCCGUAAACGAUGAGUGCUAAGUGUUAGGGGGUUUCCGCCCCCCCCUUAGUGCUGCAGCUAACGCAUUAAGCACUCCGCCUGGGAGUACGGCCGCAAGGCUG
rnacentral:rRNA from 1 species